rnacentral:rRNA from 1 species
AUUGAACGCUGGCGGCAUGCUUUACACAUGCAAGUCGAACGGUAACAGGCCUUCGGGCGCUGACGAGUGGCGAACGGGUGAGUAAUGCAUCGGAACGUGCCCAGAGGUGGGGGAUAACGCAGCGAAAGCUGUGCUAAUACCGCAUAUUAUCUGAGGAUGAAAGCGGGGGACUAAGCAGCAAUGUUUGGCCUCGCGCCUUUGGAGCGGCCGAUGUCAGAUUAGGUAGUUGGUGGGGUAAAGGCCUACCAAGCCGACGAUCUGUAGCUGGUCUGAGAGGACGACCAGCCACACUGGGACUGAGACACGGCCCAGACUCCUACGGGAGGCAGCAGUGGGGAAUUUUGGACAAUGGGCGCAAGCCUGAUCCAGCAAUGCCGCGUGCAGGAAGAAGGCCUUCGGUUGUAAACUGCUUUGUACGGAACGAAAAAGGGCUACUGGUUUAAGUAACCUGGGGCGUCAUGACGGUACCGUAAGAAUAAGCACCGGCUAACUACGUG